rnacentral:lncRNA from 1 species
AGAUCUGAGAGGAGCUCCAUCAUGGCUGCCACAGAGACUCGGAGAAGUGAGAAGAGCUAGGCAGCUUCCUCUUUAUCCAAAGGAGGCCGAGAAGAAGGAAGUGAUUCCAGAAAGGUAUCACCAUUCCUCAGUUACGAAACCCAAGUGAGACCACAAUAUCCUGACUUCCAGUCUAGAGCUAUCUGUAAUGCAAUAAAUCUCUUCACAGGAGCAUAUACACUGGGAACGGGAACUCUCACAGGAGAUUCUCUCCCUUGUUGAUUGGAAAAAGCCAGCUGCCAUGUUGUGAGUAUCCCAUUUAAAAGGGCUAUAUGGCAAGGAACCGAGGGCAGCCUUCAGCUGACAGCCAGCAAGAAACCAAGAUCCUCAGUCUGGUAGCUUGCAAGGCACUGAAUUCUGCCAACAACUGCGUGAGCUUGGAAGUGGAUCCUUCCUCAGUUAAGCCUUGGACAAGACCCAAGCCCUGUUGGACGCUUUAAUUACAGCCUUGCAGAGAACCCAGCUAAGGCAUGUUCAGACCUGAUCCACAGAAACUGUGAGAUAAUCCAUGUGUGUUGUUUUAAGCCUCUAAGUGUGUGGUAAUUUGUUACACAGCACUGGUUAGCUAACACAGAUACCUAGACAGCUGGUAAAGCAUUAUUUCUGGAUGUGUCUGUGAGGGUGUUUCUGGAGGAGAUUGGCAUGUGAGUCAGUGAACUCUGUGGGCAAGAGCUGCCCUCAAUGUAGGUGGGCACCAUCCAAUGUUGUUUUGUUGUAUCUAGGGGCCCAGAUAAAACAAAAAGGCAGAGGAAAGGUGAAUUCACUCUCUCUCUCCUGAAGCUGGGGUACUUUUAUCUCUUGCCCUUGGACAUCAGAACUCCAGGUUCUCUGGCCUUUGGACUCUGGGACUUGCACCAGCUCCCGGCUUCUCAGGACUUCAGCCUCAGAUUGAGAGUCACUCCAUUAACUUUCCUGGUUUAAAAGCCUUUAUACUUGGACUGAGAAACACCAACAGCUUCCCUGGGCUUCCAACUUGCAGAUGACCUAUCACAGGACUUCUCAGCCUCCAUAAUCGCAUGAGCCAAUUCUCCUAAUAAGUCCCCUUUCACAUAUCUAUUUAUCUACAUACGUAUAUCCUACUGGUUCUGUCUUUCUCAGGAACCCUGACCAAUAUAGUAUGUAUCUCUAAAAGAUAAGGACAUCAAAAAAUAUUACCGCGUCUAAAAAUAAAGUGAUUUCUUAACGUCAUGAAAUAUCCAAUUGCUCUCCAAAUUUUCACAAUUACAAAAGUCCACAUGUUGCAUUUAAUUUUAAUGCCUCUUAAUUCUCCCUUAAUUUUGAGAUUGCCUUUUAAGUAAGGCAGUUUAGCUCCCUAGUUUCACUCUAGCCCAUCCAAGGUGUUUCCAAAAACCUCACCUUCACACUAACCACAUCCAUUAUAAGCUGCUUCUUAAACGAUGAGAGCUCUCACUCUCUAAAAGGAAUUCUAAGCAUACCUCUUAAAGUAAUAACAUAUUAUAUCUCUACUAAGUUUAUAAUCAUAAAGAAUGUGGGUAUUUGCAUUCUCAUUUUACAGAUGGGAAAAUUAGUGUAGGUAACACAUAUAGAGAGGUGAUAAAUAGCAAUGGUUUCCAAGAAUGAUGACGAUUUCAGUGUGAAACAGAGAGUAGCAAUGGCAAGAGAUACAGCUAAGUAAAUGUGGAUGGUGAGGGACCCAUUCUGCCUUGUUAAAAGGUUUGAACCCACCCUAUAGACAAUAAAUCACUCAGUGAAUCACUGAGCAAUUUUAAUUAUGGAAGCAAUGUGAUCAGAUUUAUAUUUAAGGCAAGAGGAUUGGUGGCAAUGUAGAAGGCAAACACAAGUCAGAAAGAGUUAGAAGUAAGAAAAGUGAGUAGUCUGAAGAAAUUGGACACAUAAGAGAUGAGGGGGCUGGAAUGACUAACUAUGCAUCUUAUUCUGAAAUAUGUCUCUUAGGUAAUUGAUUAUUGAUACCCCACAUCCAAAUAGUGGGACAGUUAACUGAGAUGUCAGAGCCAGCCUUUUCAACACUUCUAGAGAGAAAUUUUGCAAAGACACAUCUCUUGUACCUCCAUGGACUUUUAAUACAGAUAUGUUUAUCAUAAGAUAACCUUCUAAAGAGCUCAUGAUAGCAUAUGAUCAAACUCCUUAUUGUACAGUCAGGAGGAAUCAGCCUUGUUGAAGGAAGGGGCUUACCCAAAGUUACAAGUUGGGACAAAAUUUUUGCUUCCAAUUCACUGCUGUUCUUACUAGAACUGUUUUCUCCAGUCUCAUAGAAGUUCUGAGAAACAAUUAGGCCCACACUAUCAUCAACAGGCAAAUAUGUGUGCCUGACCAGACAGACAGAGAGGUAUUUUGAGAGAGGCCAGGAAUGAAACUGGUGAAGAGGCCCAGAGUUUCAAUCCUGUUCUCACUCAAGAUUCAUCAUCAUCAUCAUCUUUACUAUAAGGAAGAGGGCAUUUAAAAGCACAAAUGAGAUUGUUAGUGAUAAAAAGGUACUUAUACACCAGCCAAUUCCAUCCUCCAUUUUGCUGAGGCUCAAAGAGGUACAGUGACUUAUCUUCGGUUAUGUAUGCAACUAUUGCAGAGCUGGAUAUUGGACUUAGGCCUCCUGAAGCCCAGCACUGUGCCUGCAGGAGCAUUCCCAACUCCUGUCUUUCUGCUCAAUACAUGGGGAAGAGACGAACAAUUUAGGCUACUCAAAAUGUGGUGGGCAUUUGGGCUCUGGGGAGAGCUUCAGCAUCUCUUCUCUCUUUUCAUGUUCUCCAACUCCUCAAGCAACAUACACACAUAGCAUAAAGAUCACUAGCCAGCUAUUUUCUGUCUUGAAAAAUUUUUAUGAUAAGAGUUUUCUAAUUAGGGAAAGCCACAGUUCAUACACAAAACACAAAUUACUAGGCUCUUUGUCUUUUUCAGAAGAAGUAUUAAUCCAUAAAUAAAUAUACUCUGUUGCCAAGUCACUACCAUGCUGUAUCACAUGGCCAAAGGAUGCCAAAAGGUAUGAGCUCUUGGUGAAUCCCAGCUAUUGACAGCCAGGUGCUGGACCUUAACCAGAGGCAUUGCUAUAGGUGGUUAAGUAUAUGGGCUCUGGUCAGUGGUGACAAAGUUCCUGGGUUCAAAUCCCAACACCCCCAGUUACUAGUUAUGUGACCUUGGACAAGUUGAUUAAAAUCUCUGUACUUCAACUCCUUUAUUUGUAAUAUGGAAAUGAUUUUUUAAAUUACCUAUCUUCUGGGUCUAUUGCAAAAUUAUCUUAUUUAAUAAUAAGAUAAUCCACUUAAGGCACUAUAUGUGAGUUUUUGCAUGUAGUGAGCACUUGAACCAAUAGAGUAUAUUUCCUUUUGAAUGUAAGAAAUUCACAGAGACAGCUUCUCUAUAGUAAAGGUAAGAAUCAAAACUGAGUUUCUAUAAAUUACUUUGUAUUGCUUAGAGAAAGAAGUCAUGGCAAUAGAUUGAAUAUAUUUUAAUUUAAAGUAGAAAAUUAUAUAGGAAAAAUAGAUAUAUCUUCCAGAGCUCAGUCUCAAAGGCCACAUUUUCUUUUGAGUAUUUUAACCUCCAAAACAUACUUAGUAUGUGGUGAAAUUGCCUACUUCUGGGUUGAGUAAUGUGAGCUAUCAUUACCAUGGUAACAACAAGGCCAAUAACUUGAACUCCAGUCAUAGUAGCUACAAUAAAGGGGACUCAGUUUGGAAAUAAUUAGAAUCCAUCCUUUUUGAGACUGAAAUUCAUUGCCUUUAAGACUCAAUCAACAUUCCUGGUGGUAGUCUGGAAUCAGCUCAAAUCAAGAUACAUCUAUCUUUAAAAAGAAUAUAGGACAAGAAAUCCAAAAUAGGAAAAAAAUCAAAUCAUCUUAUCUUUCUGGUGCAUUUACUAGUCUGAUGAGUCAUAAGAAAAUAAUAACCCAGAGGUUAGAAACAAAGACAUAAGCACAAUUCCUUUCAUUCCAUGGGUAAAAUUGAA